GCUGUCGGAUGAGUGGACGUCUGGACCAGGAUUUUACCAGGUAAUGUUUGAUCAAGUACUCAUAAGCUGUGCUUAUAUAAGAGCUAAAAUUGAAAAUCUACACAUUUAAAUAGAUAUAAAGGUCAUAGUGCUGUCUUCAGACAGUGGCAUUCUCUAGGAUGAACUUGGAUUGAUCUGUCUGCUUGACCUAUACGUAUACAAUCUAAUAAAUGACGUCAUGUAGGAUAAUUUGAAUCCACAGGCGUUGGUAUAAAGUCAGUAAGCCAUUGACGUUACCAUACGAUAAACUACAUAAAUAAUUAAUAUUCGUUAUAAAAAAUAAAAAAAGCUAUAAUUUGUUCAAGUUGGUAGAACGGUUAUUGUCAAAUUCAUCUGAGUUGAAAACGAGGCAGGGUAACACGAGGCCAAAGCUCCGUCCAGACUAUCCAACAUGGUUCAACUUUUGUUGACUCAGCAGCAAGUUGAAUGCUGUUGAGGUAAGUUGAGUGUCCCGUCCACACAACAAAUCAGAUAGGUCAACAUUGUCCAACUCUGUCAUCGUGUGUUGAGCUGGUUUUUUUUUUUUUUUUUACCAAACUUUCGAUAAAUUGGAGUGAGAUUUCCAUCUUUCUCUCCAAUGCACAAGACAAUGAUUUUAUGUUGUCCCUGUCUUUGUAAUCUUUAGAGAGAGUGGUGUACAUGCAAGGGUAUUUUUCAUACUCCUGUAUUAACGAAACUGUCUCAUCGUGAGACCAGUUUCUCUGUUUCGCCUUUGGUGCCUUCAUUUUGCCCAGGUCACAUGCCUUAAGACCGUCAUGUUAUUUAUGCACACCCGCUAAUUGGCUACUUUCACUCAACUUGACUCAACAAGGGUCAACUUGAACUUGAGUCAACAAAGCUGGAUAGUGUUAAGUGUUGUUAAACGUUGAAGAUUCCGUCCACACAACUCAACCAUCUCAACUCAACCCUCUCAACUUGUUGAAUCAAGUUCAAGUUGAAUCUUGUUGAGUUAGCAAAAGUUGAAGGAUGUUGGAUAGUCUGGACGGGGCUUUACGUCCACUAGAUGCUACUAUGUACUGUAUUUUUCUUAGGGCUAGCCCAUACAAGGGAGAUAACUACUGACACUUCUAACAUACUUUGUACUUGUUUAAUAUUUUCUUCAAUUUUGUUUAAUUUAUUUGGCAAAUGUUUUUAAUGAUCAGUGUUAAUUAUGUUUCCCUCUAGGUCAUUACUGGUGAGACUGAUGCUAAACAAUAAGACAGAAUGUCCAAAGGUCUAACUUGCCUAAUAGAUAAUAGCCAUAGACCCCCAUUAAUUUUCCAUGUACGACGUUUAGCGCUGUAGCUUAGUCCAAAACAUCCCGUGGCCAAUAAGCUUUGGUGUAUCCCUGUGAGAUACACAGCCUGUGAGAAAGAAGCCAUAAUAAUCUUGACAUAGGUUGACCGUCAAAAUCUGGACCUCUGGCAGCUGGGAGGGGUGCCUAGUCACUCACAGCCUCAUCACCACCUGUCUCCUUGUGUUCUCUCACCCAGAAUUUCAAUCUGUCAUCAUUAAAACUCAUACCUGCCCAAAGCUUAGACAAUUUCCAUCAUUUUGAUAACAAGCAUACAUCUGUACACCAAAAAUGGCAGACUGGCAGCAAAAAAAGAUUUUACACCCUAAAAUACACAGAAUUACGUUCGUCCCUCCUGAAAAACGGAAAUUGUAAUGGGGGUCUGUGUCCCAAUAGUGGCAGUGGUAAUUGCAUACAUGACUCCCCACACUGUCAGGAGUAUGCAUUCAAACAUGGCGGUUGGAGUUGGAAUUUUCCACUUUCCACUUUAAUUUCAUGCUUGUGUGGGUUUCCUAGUAAUGACAUGGGAACACCUACCUGGAAUUGAUAGCUAAAACGACUGUGACUAAGGACAGACAAGUUAUUUGGUGCUCUGCAGCUGAAUACUGAAGCCAGCAAGUGAAGGUAAGCUUAUGGAACAAGACAGGGCUGUGAUAGUAUAUGUAAUCUAUUCUGUAUUUUCGUAAUGCAUGUGCAUCGAUUACUUCCCUUUUCAUGGAUUAUCCUCCCUUGGCGAUAGGUAUCUGUUUAACAUAGAUUACUCCAGUGUUCAACUAUGCAAUGCUGCUGCAUCACUAAUCCACUUGUAACAUUUCUCAUAAGGUUAACUGUUUUUUCUUCUGUGCAUUGAGAAAGUGACUAAAGUAAACUGCAAUAUUUCCAUAAUCCCUUAAAUACUGAUAUAAAGAACUGAUAUCUACUGUCAAGGGAGGUAAAUGCUUGAAAAGGGAAGUAACCCAUGGAAUACGAAAAUAUGUUUUAAGUGUCCAGCGCUAGUGUUACCAUGUCUUGCCUGUAAUUGAAGAGCAUUUCAGGUGUGGAUUUCAUUUCAAACAAAUGACUGUAAAACACAGCUAUAAAUUAACAGGACCGAAAACCAGCUAGGCUUACUGCACAUGAAUUAUUCUUGAGUAUAGUUCAAUACAGCAAUCAAAUAAAAAUAAAUGAAUACAUAGUUCUGCCGAUACCUGUACUAUCACAGUCCUGUCUUGUUCCUUAAACCUACCUUGAACACCUCUGUACUUCCUGUGCUGGCCUCAAUACACUACUGAUGUCCGCCAAAUAAUGUCUGUUAGUAAUAACAGUUGUUUGUCAGCAAUUCCAGGAAGGUGUCCAUCCACACAAGCAUCUGCGUGGUCCGUUGGAGACUGGAUAAAUUUUAGUCCAUUGAGAUGAACUAGAUGAAUUUGAACUCCAAUCGCCAUGUUUGAAUGCAUACUUCUCACAGCAUAUACACGGGAGAUAACCAAGUUUCUGGUCUAGCUUUUCAGGACUGACAUGACCACCAAUAAGCAUGUUUUUUGUACAGAAAUCUUUUAGUGAUAAAUGUUCAGUUGAUUAUACCAGUCAUUACUGGUGAGAGUGAUCCUUAAAAAUUAGCCCAUGUAUGUUAAAACGUCAAAGUUGUGAAGUAGUGAGAGUUAUUGUAUACAUCAUUUCCCUCACUGUGAGGAGUAUGCAUUGGCAUUUGUAUCUUACAAGCUCAAAUGUAUUCCAUAAACUGUGAUGACUGUCAAAUAUAUAGCUGGAUGAAACUGGGCACAUUAAAGUUCCAUCUAGCAGAUAGUUGUUUCACUUUGUAUUGUAGCGGGAUUUAAGAAAGCAGGAUUUAAGAAAUAAAUUUAACGUCAGGAAGUUUCAUAUAUUCAUGUUUUAAUGAAUUUUCAUGGAAGUUUUGUUAAGAUCGUUAUCUGAGGCCAUACUAGUUAAUUUAUGAAGUCAACAUUUGCCAGUAUAGCGUUUAUUUAUUCUCGUAGGAAGUUUUAAACUUACGUUUAUCUGUUUCAUGGACGAGUGAUGUUGUUGUAUCGGCGUUGGGAACAUAGUUGGGAUAAUUAUAAGUAUUUUUCAGCAAUUUAGUGAUAAUAGUGUAGAAAUUACGAAAUCCUAUGUUAUUGUCUUAGCUGGAAAACCUUUACCUUCUAUGUUUUUUCUUGUUUCACUCAGUAAAAUGACAUUUAUUGUCCUCAGUUUCCUAAUUUGGGUCAUCGCUCCGCCCACACCAUGUGGAAAUCUAUAAAUAGGCUGAUUUUUUAGCAUCUGUGGAUGACCACGGAAUCUGCCAGGAGUUGACAUCAAAUUGCUGGUAAACAUUCUCAGUAAGUAGAUAUUUUAUUAAAAGUGGGAAAAUUCUUGUAGGGUGAAUUGGGAAACAGUCCCAGUGUCUGGAAUAGGUAUUUGUGAUCCAGUUUAAUAACUCAGAGAUAUUUGACACUUGAUGGGUUCCAGUCCAAGGAAGCCGGGAUUACAGUAUCAAAAAUCUGGGAAUUUUUCCAGUGCCAAAAUUCUGGGAACCUCAAGCCGUACCAAACCUCAGAAUCCAGCUCCAGUCUAAAGCAACUGGAACUUAUCUGAGAUAUCAAAAGUGGACCACAGAGACUAUAUACCAGAAUAGAUCAACUGAACUGUGGUACCAUAAAUUGAUUCAAGAGUCUCAGGAGACUUUUCCCAGUCCUAAAGUUCUGGGACUCUACAGUCUCAGGAAACCUGAGAAUCGAGGUCCAGUGUCUUGCAAGUAGAAAUUAUCUGAGAUAUCAAAAGUGGACCACAGAGACUUUAUACCAGAAUAUAUCAGCUGAACUUUGGUACCAUAAUUUGAGACAAGAGUCUCAUGAGACUUUCUGUGCCAUAUAUUGUGUUUAAUUGGGACUCUGUCCCAUAUGACACUCAACUGUUUGGUACUUGUGUCAACUGCUUGCACUUCCUCCUUCGUCAGCUUUCUCCCUCAUCAUAAUAAAUAUUCAUCAUCUGAUUCACUGACAAUCUGUUAUUGGAGAACUUUCAUUUCGUAUAAGAGUCUCGAAUCUCAUGUACAAGUCAUACUGGAUUACGAGCCAAUUUCAGGAAAUGUUAUGAAAUCGGAUCCAAAUAGCUGCGUCUGAUUCCCGAUUGGUUUAUCGUUUAACAAGCUUCACUCUUCACGUUAAAUAUCGAACAGGAUUAAAGUGAGUGGAUGGUGUCGCACUCAUAGGUACCUGUAUACUUGAUGAGAAGACAUCAUAAGAAAUGAAAGCACAUAAGACAAAUAUGAUAAUUGAACCACUACAGUAUUAUCCUCAAAUAAUACUGUUUUCUUACUUUGUUUUUCUUUUCUUCACAGCUUCCAGGGAAAUCAUGUCGAUGACAGUAUUACUGGUUUUACAGGUGUUCUGGAUUUGGGGAAAAUCCAUGAGGGAAACCGAUAGGAACAGGCACCUGCAGAAAGAUCCCUCUUGAACUGCUUACAACAACAUUCAAGGCAGUCAAGUGUAUCAAAAGCACGUAUUUGGAAAUUAUUGAUUUCCCCAAAAGUGCCCAGAAUUGGACCACAAAGGUGGGCCAGGGCAGCACCCCAGAGUUUGUUGGGGUUACCACAGAGGACCUCUGGUCUCAGAUUUGCAGAUGUGCUGAUCCUUGGCUAGGGCAUCAACCUCCAUGUCCAGCAUCUGAGGCCAGCCAGAGGCCUGAUCCGGGGAGUCUCUUACCGCACCUAUCACAUAACCUACAGGGGGUUUGUGCUCUGGGAUGAGAGAACAACUCUCCUGUAUGGUUCUGGGUAGAGUGCCAAAGUUGGGGAAGCCAAAAGGAACAGGCACCUGCAAAAAGAUCCUUCUUGGACUACUUACACCAUCAUUCAAGGCAUUCAAGCGUAUCAAAAGCACGUAUUUGGAAAUUAUUGAUUUCCCCAAAAGUGCCCAGAAUUUGACCACAAAGGUGGGCCAGGGCAGCACCCCAGAGUUUGUUGGGGUUACCACAGAGGACCUCUGGCCUCAGAUUUGCAGCUGUGCUGGUCCCUGGCUGGGGUAUCAACCUCCACGUCCAGCUUCUGGGGCCAGCCAGAGGCCUGAUCCGGGGAGUCUCAUACCAGACCUAUCAUGUCACCUACAGGGGGUUUGUACUUCGGGCUGAGGGUACAACCCUCCUGUAUGGUUCCGGAUAGGUCCGGUAAAUCACGAAUUGUUCAGGAUGAAAGAUAACUCCACCAUGCAUAUACUGCUAUGCAGCUCCCAUAUGUCAAACUUUUACCAGUUGUAACUAUACAUAUACAUUCAAUAUCUUUCUGCUUCUGUAUUAUCAAGCGGGCUUAACUACCAUCCAACUUCACCACACCACAUUUUAUAAGUAUUUAAACUGCAAGUCUUCCAUUCUGAACAAAAGAUUGUAAAGCUGUCGAAAUGAAAAGUCUUAAAAAAAAAAGUCAAAUUUAAAUGUAUACUGUAUUAAGUAAUAUGAACUUAACUAUAGUAAAAGAUGUCCUGGGUAAUAACUGGUUACUUGCCAGGCCAGUUUCUGACAAGCUUGUAUAGCUGGCUCCAGGAUUCAGGUUUCAAAGCACCUGAUGAUCUCCAGUGUUACCCCAAUUCACUAUUGCUAUUAAUGUUAGCCAUUUGUCUCUGCGCAUGUCCUUCUGUCUAUACUUGUGGGUGUCAAAUUUAUCACCAAAAUAUAUACUGAUUUUG